rnacentral:rRNA from 1 species
UACGAAGGGGGCUAGCGUUGCUCGGAAUGACUGGGCGUAAAGGGCGCGUAGGCGGCUUGCACCGUCAGAUGUGAAAUUCCUGGGCUUAACCUGGGGGCUGCAUUUGAUACGUGUGGGCUUGAGUGCGGAAGAGGGUCGUGGAAUUCCCAGUGUAGAGGUGAAAUUCGUAGAUAUUAGGAAGAACACCAGUGGCGAAGGCGGCUCACUGGCCCGGUACUGACGCUGAGGCGCGAAAGCGUGGGGAGCAAACAGG